AACGAAAGAACCUAUAAUGCUUUGCUUCGUGCAAGGUUUUACGAGCCGGGAGGACUCGAAACUACGUCGAUCUAAAAGGAUUUACGUCAUGUUCCUAAUAAACUUAUUUAAAAGGAAGAGUAAGAAAGUUAUAUUCUCAUUGGCAGAGAAUCUAAUUGUAAGUUAAGUCUGGAGAGCAAGCUUUUUAUUUACGAAGCAAUCUAAAACCCACAUGGACUUAUGAAAUUCAACUAUGAAGAACCACUGGUAACUCAAACAUUGAAAUUCUACAAAGAUUUCGAUCGAAAGCCUUGCGGAACAUUUGCAAUGCUCCUUGGUAUGUUAGAAAUAAAAGAGUCCACAAAUAUCUCAGAAUUCCUAUAGUAAAGGAAGAAAUUUCUACAACAUUCGUUUAGCUAACUAUCUAGAAAAUAAUUUGCUGAAAAAUUCUAGACUAAAAAGGUUCUAUCUUUCUAAUCUAGGAAUAAGAUUUAGUUAACUUAUAAUAUGAUUAUUCUGUUACAGUUAUGUAUCAUUGUAAUUUUCUCUUGAACUUAUAAUUAAUAUUAAUGUAUCACGUCAGCAAAAAUUACUUAUAAUUCUUACCGUAAAUUGAUUGUAUGUUUCUUUAUUAAUAAAAAUAUUUUUCUAAGCGAAA
rnacentral:lncRNA from 1 species